UGCCAGCCGCCGCGGUAAUACAUAGGGGUCAAGCGUUGUCCGGAAUUAUUGGGUUUAAAGGGUCCGCAGGCUGUUUGUUAAGUCAGGGGUGAAAUCCUACCGCUCAACGGUAGAACUGCCUUUGAUACUGGCAAACUUGAGUUAUUGUGAAGUAGUUAGAAUGUGUAGUGUAGCGGUGAAAUGCAUAGAUAUUACAAAGAAUACCAAUUGCGAAGGCAGCUUUCCGGAUCAUUACUGACACUGAGGAACGAAAGCAUGGGUAGCGAAGAGGAUUAGAUA
rnacentral:rRNA from 1 species